UACGUAGGGGGCUAGCGUUGCUCGGAAUCACUGGGCGUAAAGCGCACGUAGGCGGCUUUCUAAGUCAGGGGUGAAAUCCUGGAGCUCAACUCCAGAACUGCCUUUGAUACUGACGAUCUUGAGUCCGGGAGAGGUGAGUGGAACUCCGAGUGUAGAGGUGAAAUUCGUAGAUAUUCGGAAGAACACCAGUGGCGAAGGCGGCUCACUGGCCCGGUACUGACGCUGAGGUGCGAAAGCGUGGGGAGCAAACAGG
rnacentral:rRNA from 1 species